GCCCUCAUUGUAAUGCUGAGGACGGGGAUGUUCGGCACCGAAGGACUUGUAGUAAGCGUACCAAAAACCUACACGCUGCGCCCAUUCUACAGAUGGGAAGGGAGAGGAGACCAGGAUGUGUCCGAGGUGGUGCAGGGCAGCGAGGCUGGGACCUCAGCCCAGGGCUGUGACGGGUCCUGGCCCUGAAGUCAUUGUCCCCUUCACCACCAGGGCACGCGGCACGGUGCUGAGGGGCAGAGCGAAGCGAGCCCGGCCGGUCCAUUUGUGCUCUUGUCAGCUGCACGCGGUUCCUGGCCUGCCUCUUCCCGAGGUGACGGCAUUUCUCUGUCUGCCUCGUUGCGUUUUUAUUGAUCUCCUGCUCUGCCCUGCGCUCCGCUUGAAUGUAAAUGACUUCCACGGGCGACGUGUUUGGAAAUCCAAGCUUUUUGCCAUCUAGAAAUGUUACUUACUCGGCGGAUUGGAGCGGUAGUAUUAUGAUUUUAUUGAUCUUUCCGUAGCGCUCCUCGCAAGCCUCAGAGCACUUCGCGCGCGGCUGGGGGAGAUCAUUGCAUUAGGCAGAGGAGCGCAAGCGCUUAUUGACUGCAGCGUGGCAGUUUCCAUUAUGGAGGAGGGCGGACAGACAACGCGGUGCGUUCGGGCAGCGGGGGAAUUUAGGUUACCGGAGUCAACCCGUGGUUCGUCUGCGAUCUUCAGACAAACAGUCUCCCAGAGCCUAAAUCCUUCGGAGACGAAAAAUGGCUUGUGGUCUCCGGAUCAGCACCGCGCUGUCCUUGGCAGCGCGCUCGGAUGCCGACGUGGACUUGAAAGGGAAGAUGCUGCUUCUUGAACAGCCCAUCUCGCUUCCUCUCAGCGUGCUGGGUUUUUUUUGGCGUCCAUCUGUUAAAUUACUCAUGUCGAGGAGCGCAUCCCAAGCCGGCCGAGCAGCCACCAGGCGCGCGCGCACGAGGCUCCGGUGGAUGUACGGAUGUAUCAUCAGGUUUAUUAGUAAUUAAGCUGUCUCUUCAGCGCUUUCUGAGUCCUGUUGCCGCCGUGAAGGUGGACGUCUAGGUGCUGUUGAUUUCUGCUUCGUAAGCUUCUUUGCCCCCUAAUCUAAUCUGAGCAUCUUUGAAUCCCUGUCCUCUCCCCCGGCGGGGACCGGAGAAACCGCGGAGCCUUCUCCGUGCAGUUGGUGCACUGCAGUUGCUAUGGGCUUAAUUAAAGAAAAAAAAAAAAAAAA